GAAAAGAUGAUGACAGGGAAUAAUAAGUCCGGAGUAUUUGUGCAGAGAGCCGCAGGCUGGUGAAAAGCGGUCAAGACGAAAGACUGAACUCCCCCUUGAGUUGCCGGCUGAAACCAUUUAGGCAGUAGGACCGGACGGAGUCUUCCGCCGUUAAAAGGAAGGGGAUAUCGGAAGAUGGUUUCACUGUUUUCCCGCAUCCUGUAGAGUGAACGGCAUGUGCCGUUAACAUGAGUGGUACCGCGAAUUGGCCUUCGUCUCAUUA
rnacentral:ncRNA from 1 species